rnacentral:rRNA from 1 species
GUGAGGAAGAAGUAUUUCGGUAUGUAAAGCUCUAUCAGCAGGAAAGAAAAUGACGGUACCUGACUAAGAAGCCCCGGCUAACUACGUGCCAGCAGCCGCGGUAAUACGUAGGGGGCAAGCGUUAUCCGGAUUUACUGGGUGUAAAGGGAGCGUAGACGGUUUUGCAAGUCUGAAGUGAAAGCCCGGGGCUUAACCCGGGACUGCUUUGGAAACUGUAGGACUAGAGUGCAGGAGAGGUAAGUGGAAUUCCUAGUGUAGCGGUGAAAUGCGUAGAUAUUAGGAGGAACACCAGUGGCGAAGGCGGCUUACUGGACUGUAACUGACGUUGAGGCUCCAAAGCGUGGGGAGCAAACAGGAUUAGAUACCCUGGUAGUCCACGCCGUAAACGAUGAUUACUAGGUGUU